AACGAACGCUGGCGGCAGGCUUAACACAUGCAAGUUGAACGUGAUUUGCUGGGUGCUUGCACCGAGCAAUGAAAGUAGCGCACUGGUGAGUAACACGUGGGAACGUACCUUUUGGUGGGGAACAACAGUUGGAAACGACUGCUAAUACCGCAUAAUGUUUCCGAUCCGCAUGGAUUGGAAACCAAAGCUUUAUGUGCUGAAAGAUGGCCUCGCGUCUGAUUAGAUAGUUGGUAGGGUAACGGCCUACCAAGUCAACGAUCAGUAGCCGGUCUGAGAGGAUGAACGGCCACAUUGGGACUGAGAUACGGCCCAG
rnacentral:rRNA from 1 species